rnacentral:ncRNA from 2 species
AUUGAAUAGAUUAGGAUUGGUGCACAAUGAAAAUUGUGCUUAAUAGGGAAGUACGGUUUAAAUCCGUCACGGUACCCGCCACUGUAAGGGGAGUUCAUUGCAGAUGUCACUGAAGGAAUUUGGGAAGACGCAAUAGAAUGAUGAACCUAAGUCAGGAGACCUGCCUUUACCUAAUAGCUUCA